rnacentral:rRNA from 1 species
GACGAACCGUGCGAACGAUGUUCGGAAUCACUGGGCUUAAAGGGUGCGUAGGCGGGUUGUCCAGUCUGGGGUGAAAUCCCACGGCUCAACCGUGGAAUUGCCUCAGAUACUGACGACCUCGAGGGAGGUAGGGGCGAGCGGAACUGUGGGUGGAGCGGUGAAAUGCGUUGAUAUCCACAGGAAAUCAGGUGGCGAAGGCGGCUCGCUGGACCUCUUCUGACGCUGAGGCACGAAAGCUAGGGGAGCAAACGGG